UACAGAGGGGGCCAGCGUUAUUCGGAAUUAUUGGGCGUAAAGGGCACGUAGGCGGCUUUGCGUGUCUUUCGUGAAAUCCCUCGGCUCAACUGAGGACGUGCGGAAGAAACUGCAGGGCUGGAGUCCGGGAGAGGAGGGUGGAAUUCCCAGUGUAGCGGUGAAAUGCGUAGAUAUUCGGAAGAACACCAGUGGCGAAGGCGACUCACUGGCCCGAUACUGACGCUGAGGCGCGAAAGCGUGGGGAGCAAACAGG
rnacentral:rRNA from 1 species